rnacentral:rRNA from 1 species
GGAGGGUGCAAGCGUUAUCCGGAAUUAUUGGGUUUAAAGGGUGCGUAGGCGGAAAUUUAAGUCAGUGGUGAAAGCCUGCAGCUUAACUGUAGAAUUGCCAUUGAAACUGAAUUUCUUGAAUAUAAUUGAAGUAGGCGGAAUAUGACAUGUAGCGGUGAAAUGCUUAGAUAUGUCAUAGAACACCAAUAGCGAAGGCAGCUUACUAGUUAGUAUUGCGCUAUGCACGAAG